GGGCCACUGUCGCGCCUGUCCUGGGGGUGGGGCUCGGGCUCGGGUUUGUGGCAGGAGCCGACUGGCUGCUCCUAUGGGCGAAGAGGCGAUUCCUAGGGAGAAGGCUGGCGGCUUGGGGGAAGGCGGGUGGGGGCUGCGCCCUGGGGGAUCUCCUGUCCCUGGGUAGGCAACGGGCUUGCUUCAGCCAACGUCAGGGACAGCUCACGCAUCUUCCCAGUUGACCAUGGGGGCUCUGUGCAGCAAAUGGUCUCCCACUUGGAGCACACCUGAAUUGUUGGAUCCUGCUGGCACUAUGGGGAGAGAUGCCUGUGCAGUCACAGUCCCAGCUCUGCUUGAGCUGUAGGAACUUCAAUACCUAUGGUCAGAUUUCUCAUGGCUUAUUGGAUAAGAGUUACAAAUGGAACAUGCAUCAGUGCUGUGGACGUGUGAAGCUUUUCUUUCCAUACAAAACUUAAAUGGGGUGGCCUAAGCUGCCUGACCAACUGAUCUAGGAUGACCAGACAGCAAGUAUGAAAAAUCAGGACAGGGGGUGGAGGGCAAUAGGAGCCUAUAUAAGAGAGACCCAAAAAUCAGGACUGUCCCUAUAAAAUCAGGGCAUCUGGUCACCCUAAACUGAUCUAACUCUGCAAGGCUUUUCUAUAGUUAGGCUGGCAGAGAUCACAUCUUUAUUGGUAAAUGUCAGUUUCACCAUCCACACACAAUGACAGAAUUGCUAAUUGAAAUGUAAAGAGGCAAUGUAAGAAAAAUCCUGCUUGAGAACUUUAGAGUUUGAUUUAAGGAUAAAUACUUUGUAUAUUUUGGCAUGUGAUGUCGAGAAUUUGUGUUUUAAUGGUUAUAAAGACUUUACUUUUUGAAUCUCAAUGCCUACUACCAUUAAAUAAUAUCUGAUGCCCCCCAUUUCCUUCAAUUAUGAAAAUUUCAAUAAAAAAUGCUUUAACAUUA